AUGGACAUCAGGGAAGCCGACAGGCCAGGGGCAGUCCAGCUCCAGCUCUGUGGCCUAAGAAGGCGCUGUUUUUUCACCGUUGCCUUGAUCCCUGUCCUACUCAUGCUCCUCUGUCACUGCACAGGUUCCCUGUCCCUGCCUAUGCUGACUCAGCCAUCGUUCCUCUCUGCCUCUCUGGGAAUGACUGCCAGACUCACCUGCACCCUGAGCAGGGACAUCAAUGUGGGAAGAUAUAACAUAUAUUGGUACCAGCAGAUGCCUGGGAACUCUUCCUGCUAUCUCCUGUACUACUACUCAGACUCAGAUAAGCACCAGGGCUCUGGGGUCCCCAGCCGCUUCUCUGGAUCCAAAGAUGGCUCUGCCAAUGCAGGACUUCUGCUCAUCUCUGGGCUGCAGCCUGAGGACGAGGCUGACUACUACUGUGCUAUAAUUCAUGGCAGUGGGAGCAACUAUCAUUACUCACAGUGUCACAGAUAA